CACGUAGGGUGCGAGCGUUGUCCGGAAUUAUUGGGCGUAAAGAGCUCGUAGGCGGUUUGUCGCGUCUGCUGUGAAAUCCCGAGGCUCAACCUCGGGCCUGCAGUGGGUACGGGCAGACUGGAGUGCGGUAGGGGAGAAUGGAAUUCCUGGUGUAGCGGUGGAAUGCGCAGAUAUCAGGAGGAACACCGGUGGCGAAGGCGGGUCUCUGGGCAGUAACUGACGCUGAGGAGCGAAAGCGUGGGGAGCGAACAGG
rnacentral:rRNA from 1 species